rnacentral:rRNA from 1 species
AACANGUGAGUGACCUGCCUUUUAGACUGGAACAACUUACCNAAAGGUGAGCUAAUGCCGGAUGAGUUAUAUAAGUGCAUGUUUAUAUAGGAAAAGUUGGGGAGACCUGACGCUGAAAGAUGGACUCGCGUCCCAUUAGCUAGUUGGUAGGGUAAUGGCCUACCAAGGCGACGAUGGGUAGCCGGCCUGAGAGGGUGGCCGGCCACACUGGGACUGAGACACGGCCCAGACUCCUACGGGAGGCAGCAGUGGGGAAUUUUGCGCAAUGCUCGUAAGAGUGACGCAGCGACGCCGCGUGAAUGACGAAGGCCUUCGGGUCGUAAAGUUCUUUCGACAGGGAAGAANNUGCCUAUAAGUAACUGUGUAUGUAUUGACGGUACCUGUAUAAGCAGCCCCGGCUAACUCCGUGCCAGCAGCCGCGGUAAUACGGAGGGGGCGAGCGUUGUUCGGAGUGACUGGGCGUAAAGAGCACGUAGGCGGUGUUGUAAGUCAUUAGUCAAAGACUAGAGCUCAACUUUAGUAAGGCUAGUGAUACUAUAAUACUAGAGUAUCAGAGAGGAUUGCAGAAUUCCUGGUGUAGCGGUGAAAUGCGUAGAUAUCAGGAGGAAUACCGUUAGCGAAGGNGGCAAUCUGGCUGGAAACUGACGCUGAGGUGCGAAAGCGUGNUAGCAAACAGGAUUAGAUACCCUGNAGUCCACGCUGUAACCGAUGGAUGCUAGGGU